AGUUCCGACCCGCACGAACGGCGUAACAAUCGGAGCACUGUCUCAACGAAGGACCCGGUGAAAUUGAACUACGCGUGAAGAUGCGCGUUACCCGCAGCAGGACAAAAAGACCCCGUGGAGCUUUACUGCAGCUUGGCAUUGUGUUUGGGCAUGGUUUGUGUAGCAUAGGUGGGAGGCCGUGAAACUGGGGCGCUAGCCUCGGCGGAGCCAUCCGUGAAAUACCACCCUGACCCUGUCUUGACCCUAACCCCACACCGUUAGCCGGGUGGGGGACCGUGCCUGGUGGGCAGUUUGACUGGGGCGGUCGCCUCCUAAAAGGUAGCGGAGGCGCCCAAAGGUUCCCUCAGGCUGAAUGGAAACCAGCCUUAGAGUGUAAAGGCAUAAGGGAGCUUGACUGCAAGACCAACGCGUCGAGCAGAGACGAAAGUCGGGCUUAGUGAUCCCACGGUUCCGUGUGGAAGGGCCGUGGCUUACCGGAUAAAAGCUACCCCGGGGAUAACAGGCUGGUGAAGUCCAAGAGUCCAUAUCGACGACUUCGCUCGGCACCUCGAUGUCGGCUCAUCGCAUCCUGGGGCUGGAUAAGGUCCCAAGGGUCGGGCUGUUCGCCCGUUAAAGCGGUACGCGAGCUGGGUUCAGACCGUCGUGAGACAGGUCGGUCUCUAUCCGCUGUGGGCGCAAGGGACUUGCGGAGAGCUGCCCCUAGUACGAGAGGACCGGGGUGGACAGACCGCUGGUG
rnacentral:rRNA from 1 species